ACGUCCCAGUUCGGAUUGUAGUCUGCAACCCGACUACAUGAAGCUGGAAUCGCUAGUAAUCGCGAAUCAGAAUGUCGCGGUGAAUACGUUCCCGGGUCUUGUACACACCGCCCGUCACACCAUGGGAGUCGGAAAUGCCCGAAGUCAGUGACCCAACCGUAAGGAGGGAGCUGCCGAAGGUGGAGCCGGUAACUGGGGUGAAGUCGUAACAAGGUACC
rnacentral:rRNA from 1 species